rnacentral:rRNA from 1 species
AGAGUUUGAUCCUGGCUCAGGACGAACGCUUGCGGCGUGCCUAAGAAAUGCAAGUCGAACGGGGGCUUCGGCCCUAGUGGCGAACGGUCGCGUAACACGUGGGCAACCUGCCCUGAAGCGGGGGACAACAGUCCGAAAGGACUGCUAAUACCGCAUGUGGUUCCGGAAGGCAUCUUCCGUAACUAAAGUCUUCGGACACU